CUGCUCCAUAGGUUACAUUUGCUUUAGCUUUCCGGCUGUAUCCCAGUCCUAUCUCUACUAGAAGCUGAAAAGCCGUGGCCUGUUCUGCACAAGCAAAGCUCCCAGAUCGAGACACUUCUUCCACCUGGGAGCAGGAAAACACAGCAGAAGUGAAUGCUUUAUUCUCCCUGUCCAAGCCCUCUGCCCAGGCAGUGUCUCAGCUUGAUGACAGACAUCUUCCUGCAGCAGUGUCAGGAAAAGGGCUUUUACUGCCUAACAAGAUAAAUGCACUGGCACUCAGCACUGGCAGUCCUUCCAAGAAAUACUGCGCUGCAUUGCUGCGGCUGAAUUUGCUUUUCCUCUUCGGAACUGGGAUCACCAUGGAUUGGAUGCCAUUGCCCAGAUUAGUGUCUUGGCACUUAGUGAGCAUAUUAACUGGAGGGACAACUGCAGACAUGGCAGUCUCAACCUGCUGGAAAGACAAAGAGUACAAGAGUUGUGUCCCAUGUUUCUGCCAUGCUGAGGUCCUGGGUCAUUUUGUCUUACAAGGAGUCAGCUCAGUCCUGCCUGAGAAGUGCUCACUAGACUGACAGGAUUUAAACCAGAUGGAAGAGAAGAAAUACUUUAAUACAGAGACACAGCCAGGGAAAGAAGCUCUGUCAUUAUUAUAAAGAUGUUAAAGGUUCCUGGUAAAACUCCCACCUUUGCUUGGUAUGAUAAUGUCUUCAUCAGUCCUGGAGUGGUAAACGAGAAACAGGAAACUUCACAGGCGUUGUUCCAGGUCAAUCUAUAUCUGCAAACUCUGCUUUGCCCAGGUCACAAAGGGACAACCCAAUACACCUCUGCAUCCCCACACUGUUCUUGGCUUCACCCUUCAGUCAGAGAAACUACCCUGGGAACUCCAUAUCAAUUCCAGCAAGAAGGCAGCUUUCAAUCAGAGCUUGCAAUAAGUCAAUUUAAAAACAAAUCCAAGGACAGGUUUAAUUUCAGCAUUUGUAUAAAAAACCUUUUUUUUUUUUUUUUUUUUCCAACAGACUCCCACCCAUUUUUCAGUGCAGAAAAUGAAUAAUGCUGCAAGGUGAAUUGUGCUUCCUGAAUUAUUAAAGUUUUUAUAAUCUUCCUUAUUCACCAAGUAGCCUUGGGUUUUAUGUAAUAACCACUUAGAAGCAGUGCUGAAUAAAAUUAUAUUUUAGUCGAUUUUCUCUUGGGUUUUUAUGUUAUUCUUACUGGUGCUUCACAAAUGCAGCUUUUUCUUCACAAGAUUCCUGAGGCAAGUUAAUAUUAGUAUCUUCAUCUUACAGAUGAAGAACAGAAAGGUGGAGCAAUUUAAGCAAGAACAUUUGAAACAUUUGCUAUUCUUGGAUACUUCUCUUGGGACAAAAAGGCUUACUUGAAGGACUUGCUCUGCCUGGUUUCAUGGUUUCAUUUGGAGUGGGAUGUACUUUCUUUCCACAGAGCAAGUCACACACAGCUCAAGUCAGCACGGCAGAAAUCAAAUGCUGGUACAAGCUACAGUGCAACUCCUCUCCAAGCAAACCAAUUUGUCAUCACUUGUCACAUUCCCACCUCCCUUCUGUUCCCAGCCAUAUGUUCCCCUCCCCUUCCACCAGCACUGGCACCUGCCUGACUCCUUCUGUGAGCACAGCCUGAGGGAGAAAAAUAUGUGACAACCAGCUACAGAGUCAGUUUUGCAUUUAUAAUA